GUAGGUGGCAAGCGUUGUCCGGAAUUAUUGGGCGUAAAGCGCGCGCAGGCGGUUCUUUAAGUCUGAUGUGAAAGCCCACGGGCUCAACCGUGGAGGGUCAUUGGAAACUGGAGAACUUGAGUACAGAAGAGGAAAGCGGAAUUCCACGUGUAGCGGUGAAAUGCGUAGAGAUGUGGAGGAACACCAGUGGCGAAGGCGGCUUUCUGUCUGUAACUGACGCUGAGGCGCGAAAGCGUGGGGAGCAAACAGGAUUAGAUACCCUGGUAGUCCACGCCGUAAACGAUGAGUGCUAAGUGUUAGGGGGUUUCCGCCCCUUAGUGCUGCAGCUAACGCAUUAAGCACUCCGCCUGGGGAGUACGGCCGCAAAGGCUG
rnacentral:rRNA from 1 species